CAUAUCAAGCACAAAACUCUUAUCAUCGUGCUCGAGCACCCUAAUAAAAAUAAUAAUGCGCUGUAAGCAUCUGCAACUUAGCAUAGCAUCGAUUAUACUUGCUUGUCGUAUAUAACAGUCAGUGACAAGCAACCGGCAAACGCUGUCUUAAUCAAUAUAGAUGAUCACGAGACUGGCUGCUAGUCGGAGAUGGCAUGCUAUCUGGGCACAUCCGCGACCGCUCUUCUGGUGGGACACAAUUGUGCCAGAGUUCACUGCUCAACAGUUGAUGCAAAACUUCCACAUGUCCAGGGAGUCAUUCCUCUACAUUUGCGAUCUUCACGAUAGCCCCGCCCCCUGAGGUCGUUGGUGCCGGAGUCUGGCUCAGCAAAUGAUUGAGCUGGCCCUCAAGCACCAGAGCUGGAACGAGAGCCAAUUUCCAUGGUGGACAAAGAAAAAACUGGUACUCACCCGGGUACCGGCUCCGAACUAGCACAAGCGCGGUGGAAAAGGGCCGUGUGAUAACCGGAAGCAAUAACAUGGAAAUUGAAGAGGACCUCAAAAUUGAGGGCGGCCCAGAGAUGGGCGUCGAGGCGGGAUGGGAGGCCCUUGGUUCCGAGCCG